rnacentral:rRNA from 1 species
UAGCGUAUAUUAAAGUUGUUGCGGUUAAAAAGCUCGUAGUUGGAUUUCUGUUGACCACUGCCGGUCCACCUUAUGGGUGAGUAUCUGGAUAGGGGUCGGCAUCCUCACGAUAAACGUUUCUGCGCUUGAUUGCGUGGUACGGGGAUCGUGACUUUUACUUUGAGGAAAUUAGAGUGUUCACGGCAGGCAUACGCCUUGAAUAUAUUAGCAUGGAAUAAUACUAUAGGAUUUCGGUUCUAUUUUGUUGGUUUCUAGAGCUGAAAUAAUGAUUAAUAGGGACAAUUGGGGGCAUUCGUAUUGACGAGUC